CAGCAUGCCGCGGUGAAUACGUUCCCGGGCCUUGUACACACCGCCCGUCACACCAUGAGAGUUUGUAACACCCAAAGCCGGUGGGGUAACCUUUUGGAGCCAGCCGUCUAAGGUGGGACAGAUGAUUAGGGUGAAGUCGUAACAAGGUAGC
rnacentral:rRNA from 1 species